GAGCAAAUCGCCCCCAUGACUUAUUCUUUACAAAAGAAAAAAAUAUUGCAACCAAUUUGCAUUUCAAGCUGUGGCAGAUCUGAAAAAAACAAAUAAAUCAAUGACAACAGCAGCACUGAUGACGAAGAAGAUGAUGACUCAAAAGCAUUGCAUACAGCAGAAUACAGUAAAAAUUGAAGAAAAA